UACGUAGGGUGCAAGCGUUUGUCCGGAAUUAUUGGGCGUAAAGAGCUCGUAGGCGGUUUGUCGCGUCUGCUGUGAAAACCCGAGGCUCAACCUCGGGCCUGCAGUGGGUACGGGCAGACUAGAGUGCGGUAGGGGAGAUUGGAAUUCCUGGUGUAGCGGUGGAAUGCGCAGAUAUCAGGAGGAACACCAGCGGCGAAGGCGGCGCUCUGGGCCGGAACUGACGCUGAGGAGCGAAAGCGUGGGUAGCAAACAGG
rnacentral:rRNA from 1 species